AUAUUUACCUGGCAGAGGAGACACAAUAACCAAGCAGGUGGUUUUCCCAGGGUGAGGCUCAUCCCUAGCACUUACGGUGUGCUGGUUUUUGUUUUUUGGUUUUUUUUUUUUUAAUGUGCAGACUUUGGGCUCUUCAGGAACCUGAUUAGCAAGGUUCCAUG
rnacentral:snRNA from 14 species